AACGCACCUUGCGCUCCUUGGUAUUCCGAGGAGCACGCCCGUUUGAGUGUCAUGGUAUUCUCAACCUUCAUAACUUUUGUUAUCGAAGGCUUGGACUUGGAGGUCGUGCUGGCUCUCGUUAGUCAGCUCCUCUGAAAUGCAUUAGCGUGAACGUUUACGGAUCGCUAUCAGUGUGAUAAUUAUCUGCGCUGUUAGUGUUGAAGUAUGUUUAGUGUCGCGCUUCUAAUCGUCCUUCAGUUGGACAAUUUACUUGACAUCUGGCCUCAAAUCGGGCGGGACUACCCGCUGAACUUAA
rnacentral:misc_RNA from 1 species